UACGGAGGAUCCGAGCGUUAUCCGGAUUUAUUGGGUUUAAAGGGUGCGCAGGCGGGAGAUUAAGUCGGCGGUGAAAUUUUGCAGCUCGACUGUAAAAGUGCCUUCGAAACUGGUUUCCUUGAGUGUAGAUGAAGUAGGCGGAAUUUGUGGUGUAGCGGUGAAAUGCAUAGAUAUCACGAGGAACUCCGAUUGCGCAGGCAGCUUACUAAACUACUACUGACGCUCAGGCACGAAGGCGUGGGGAUCAAACAGGAUUAGAUACCCGGGUAGU
rnacentral:rRNA from 1 species